UACGUAGGGUGCAGGCGUUAAUCGGAAUUACUGGGCGUAAAGCGUGCGCAGGCGGUUUGUUAAGACAGGUGUGAAAUCCCCGGGCUUAACCUGGGAACUGCGCUUGUUACUGGCAGACUUGAGUGUAGCAGAGGGGGGUGGAAUUCCACGUGUAGCAGUGAAAUGCGUAGAGAUGUGGAGGAACACCGAUGGCGAAGGCAGCCCCCUGGGUUAACACUGACGCUCAUGCACGAAAGCGUGGGGAGCAAACAGG
rnacentral:rRNA from 1 species